AUCUUCACUACGUGCCAGUUUGCAAUAAAUAAAGGAAAGAAAUACAUAAUGGCGUUUAUUAUCUAACUGGAACGCAUAACCAUAAUCCUUAGUUAUGGUCACAAUUUAACUUAGUAAUUCUCGCUGCAUAAUAUCCGACUACAAUGGUCAAAAAUGUUCAGUAAUCUGCUGAGGAGUAAAUCGAGGAUAUGAAAGGCAGAUAUUUCGAGAUUCUUUAUGAAGCGGAACAUCGAACAAAUGCAGUGGAGAAUACAGCAGCUGAGCGUUACUACAUCUCAACUUGGUGCUUCUAAUAUUUCUAGGAUCGAGCACUGUCAUCAUGCACGUAAUUGUGAUAUCUUCCCUUUUACAGAUGGGCUUAGUAAAGCCCGUCGAAUGAAUACAGCAACCGAUCGCUGUUAUCGCAAGCCAGGUUAGUGCAUGUAAUGUUCUUUCACGGCAACGCUGUCGUCAUCACGUUUUCUUCUUCUUCUCUAACAUUCCGGCCGGGUCUUCCUUUACGGAUUGGCUUAAUUCCACUGGGUUGAAACGUCUCGUCGUAGUAUAAUCGUCGGAUCAUGUCAUGUUGUUAACAUUCCUCACAAUUCCGCGGUACUUUUGUUCGAACUAAGUACGAAACUAUAAAUGUCGUUUUCUUACCGCAUAGGAGGCUAAGAAAAUCUAUACAAAUCGUGAGCACAACUUAGGCUAUAUACACUUCAACAAAAUCGUACAUUUUCCCAAAGGUGCAAAGUUAACCUUUUAAUAUGGCUUAGCGACAAUCUAUCUAUCCUUAAAUCAACUCUUCAUAACCGUUCCAAAUUUAAUUACUUUCCCGUAAGCACAGAGAGGAAUGGAGACGGUAGGUGUAAGGACAAGUAAGUGGUGCAAGUAAUAAGUUUAACGAUGAUAAUGAUUUUUCACUUACGUUUUUAGGUCAAAAAGUUUUGUUUAUUUACAAACAUGCACGCGUUUAUAGAAAUUUAAGUUAUCUCGUAAGCAGCUUACAACAAUCACUUAUUAAACAUUACUCACGCACAUCUCAUCAUUUAUUAUGCAUUAUAAUGAUGAUUUUAGCACAAUACACGCCGUAAUGCAACAUCAACAUACCUACGUCUGGGAAUGAAGAUGAAAAAUUAAAAG